rnacentral:rRNA from 1 species
AUUGAACGCUGGCGGCAGGCCUAACACAUGCAAGUCGAACGAGUGGCGGACGGGUGAGUAAUGUCUGGGAAACUGCCCGAUCGAGGGGGAUAACUACUGGAAACGGUAGCUACUACCGCCUACCAUCGGAUGUGCCCAGAUGGGAUUAGCUAGUAGGUUGGGUAACGUCUCACCUAGGCGACGAUCCCUAGCUUGUCUGAGAGGAUGACCAGCCAAACUGUAACUGAGACACGGUCCAGACUACUAAGAGAGGCAGCAGUGGGGAAUAUUGCACAAUGGGCGCAAGCCUAAUGCAGCCAUGCCGCGUGGAUGAAGAGGGCCUUCGGGUUGGAAAGUACUUUCAGCGGGGAAGCGUUACCCGCAGAAGAAGCACCGGCUAACUCCGUGCCAGCAGCCGCGGUAAUAC